rnacentral:rRNA from 1 species
AUUGAACGCUGGCGGCAUGCCUUACACAUGCAAGUCGAACGGCAGCACGGGAGCAAUCCUGGUGGCGAGUGGCGAACGGGUGGGUAAUGUAUCGGAACGUACCUUUCAGUGGGGGAUAACGUAGCGAAAGUUACGCUAAUACCGCAUAUUCUGUGAGCAGGAAAGCAGGGGAUCGCAAGACCUUGCGCUGAUUGAGCGGCCGAUAUCAGAUUAGCUAGUUGGUGAGGUAAAGGCUCACCAAGGCGACGAUCUGUAGCGGGUCUGAGAGGAUGAUCCGCCACACUGGAACUGAGACACGGUCCAGACUCCUACGGGAGGCAGCAGUGGGGAAUUUUGGACAAUGGGCGCAAGCCUGAUCCAGCCAUGCCGCGUGAGUGAAGAAGGCCUCGGUUGUAAG